rnacentral:rRNA from 1 species
UACGAAGGGUGCAAACGUUAUUCGGAAUCACUGGGCGUAAAGGGUGCGUAGACGGUAUGUUAAGUUCGUUGUUAAAGGCUCCGGCCUAACCGGAGUACCGCAAUGAAAACUGGCGUGCUGGAGGGUGAGAGAGAGAAGUGGAAUUCCCGGAGUAGCGGUAAAAUGCGUGGAUCUCGGGAGGAACACCAAUGGCGAAGGCAGCUUCUUGGCUCAUUCCUGACGUUGAGGCACGAAAGCGUGGGGAGCAAACAGG